ACGAACGCUGGCGGCGUGCUUAACACAUGCAAGUCGAACGGAAAGGCCCUGCUUUUGUGGGGUGCUCGAGUGGCGAACGGGUGAGUAACACGUGAGUAACCUGCCCUUGACUUUGGGAUAACUUCAGGAAACUGGGGCUAAUACCGGAUAGGAGCUCCUGCUGCAUGGUGGGGGUUGGAAAGUUUCGGCGGUUGGGGAUGGACUCGCGGCUUAUCAGCUUGUUGGUGGGGUAGUGGCUUACCAAGGCUUUGACGGGUAGCCGGCCUGAGAGGGUGACCGGCCACAUUGGGACUGAGAUACGGCCCAGACUCCUACGGGAGGCAGAAGUGGGGAAUAUUGCACAAUGGGCGGAAGCCUGAUGCAGCAACGCCGCGUGCGGGAUGAAGGCCUUCGGGUUGUAAACCGCUUUCGCCUGUGACGAAGCGUGAGUGACGGUAAUGGGUAAAGAAGCACCGGCUAACUACGUG
rnacentral:rRNA from 1 species